UUUUUUUUUUUUUCCUGAAAGGGUGGCCUUGUAUAAAUAGUGCCAAAAGUGGGGCAUUUGAUUUGAAAACUUCCGUUAAUUGUACUCCAUUUUUCUCUAUUAUUAAAAGCCACAAAUAAUAAUUUUAUUAAAUAAUCGAGAAAAAUGGGAGAACAGUAAAGCCCAUAAUAGAAAUAAAACGUUUGGGUUUAUGGGCCCUUUGGUUGUCUUUUUACCCACCGAAUUUCUUAACCCUUUUUAUGCUUAAUGAAAAAACGAAUUGUGUUCUUGGGCUCCUGUAGCUCCUCGAAGUCGAAAGAUAAGAUUUGGGUUUGGAGAUUAGCUUCAGUUUCAUCACGAGCAGCGCCAAAAAGAUUACAAGUGAGGUCUCUCGGCAGAGGAAGAAAAUAACGACGAUAUGAUGGAGGUUUGCACAGAAGUGGUAUCCUGUGUGUUGUUUGUGGUAUCCUUUGUGUUCGCAUUGCCUUUGCUGAUGUUUUCUAUUUUACAAAUUCUACAAAGUGACGGCUCUCUCAUUCGCAAUUGUAUUACUGCAUUUUUUUUUAUUUCUUAUGGGUCUCGUAGCUACCAUCGGGGCUUGCAAACGAUUUGUUGAGACUCCACCAGAGUGGAUCAAAAUGUUAAAGGGUCUCUGUCAUCACCAUGAACAGGAGGCGGCCACCAAAAAAUUGCUGGAAGAAGAGGCCGACAAAGUAUAGAAGUAUGUGGGAUAAGUGUUUUUAAUUAUAUGGUCCGGAUGAUUAUUAUUAUUUUGUUUAAGUGACUUUAUAUGAAACUUUUUGAGUGAAUUUAUUACUUAUUCUAACUUCACUUUAAUUAUAAUUUAUAUAUGUAUUUUUGUGACAA